UGGCUCAGGACGAACGCUGGCGGCGUGCUUAACACAUGCAAGUCGAACGGUGAAGGGGCCUGCUUUUGUGGGUCCUGGAUGAGUGGCGAACGGGUGAGUAACACGUGAGUAACCUGCCCCCUUCUUCUGGAUAACCGCAUGAAAGUGUGGCUAAUACGGGAUAUUCUGUGCCUGCUGCAUGGUGGGUGUGGGAAAGAUUGCGCCCUUUUUGGGUGUUUUUGGUGGGGGAUGGGCUCGCGGCCUAUCAGCUUGUUGGUGGGGUGAUGGCCUACCAAGGCGGUGACGGGUAGCCGGCCUGAGAGGGUGGACGGUCACACUGGGACUGAGACACGGCCCAGACUCCUACGGGAGGCAGCAGUGGGGAAUAUUGCACAAUGGGCGCAAGCCUGAUGCAGCGACGCCGCGUGAGGGAUGGAGGCCUUCGGGUUGUGAACCUCUUUCGCCAGUGAAGCAGGCCUGCUCCUUGGUGGGUGGGUUGACGGUAGCUGGAUAAGAAGCGCCGGCUAACUACGUGCCAGCAGC
rnacentral:rRNA from 1 species